rnacentral:sRNA from 1 species
ACAAGAACAAGAAAAAGCGCAAACCCAUAAUAAAAACAACAUGAAUCGGCUCACGCAUAACAAGAACAAGACGGCAUGAGGCGUAGCUAACUGAUUCUUUUGAAGAGGUAUCGUUACGGGAUUUUCCCGCAACCAGGCCGAGAACAAUAAAAACUGCGAUCGAGCAGUGCCUGAACUGGUUGGACCCUAGGGUCAGCAAUACGGCGUUCAAAGCAAUCCGUUUGCUCUUGGCUCCCCCUUUGGGAGAUGCUCCCAGGCAAUGCCUGGCGGGCCGGGCACACAACAAAAACAAAAGCCCAAGCGAGAACAAAAACGAGCAGGCAACGACUUCCUGGGGAGCUACGGCUCCCCUUGUCGUUUCCGCC